rnacentral:lncRNA from 1 species
GGGAGAAAAGAACUGCUCUGAAGAGAGACCCUUGUGCUGCGCCUCUCCAGGUCCCAGGGGCGAUGGGGUGGGGAUCAGGCACGGAGGACAGGAAGACAA